UCAGUCAAAGCCCGCGUGGAAAAAAAAAAUUAAUUCCCUUUUCAUUUAGACGAACCCUAGCGGCUUUUUUCUGUAUUUGCUCUCUAGCACAACCAGUCCCCAUUACCAAAGGCCUUUGUCUCUUUUUCACAGCAACAGCCUCCGAACUCACCACGCCCACCGGAGAAAUUGAGCUUCAACGGAGUAGUCUACACUCGUUUCUACUCAACCCAAAGGUUCCUACUCAAAUUUCCCUAUUGGCUAACAAAUUCGACCCAGACCAAGGCUCUAAUCAGUUUCUUUCUUCCUUUAUUUCUGCGAGGUUGAAGUUAGAGAGUUGAGAGAGAAACCAUCUCAAACUAUUCCGACCCAGACCAAGACAGAGCUAUAUCUUCAACCCUCUCUCUACCCUCUAAGGAUCUGAACGCACAUUCAUUCUUUAGGGUAAUUUAUGCUGGAAUGAAGUUUAGGUGAUGGAUAAAGAAUGGAUGCACAUCGCUAACAGGAUUAAUUUUCACAAGAUCAUUAGGAGCAUGCUCAAAGGGCAGAAUUGUUCUCGGAAUCUUAACGAAAUCAUACACCAUUCAAACACGAAUCUCUUGACUUUGAAGAAGAUACGGAUCAAGUAUGUUCUAUUCUGUUCUUCCACCACUUGCACUACUUAUUAUAUAGAUGCUCAUAUCUCCCUGACAUGGCAUUUGUUUGUACCGUCUAGACAUUUUUUUCCCACCUUGCCAACUGCCUUACCUGCUUAUACUUUGAAUAUUACAGACAUGCAAUUUUCAUUUUCUA